rnacentral:ncRNA from 2 species
AUGAAUGUACGUGGAGAGAACGUGAACAAGUUAUGCUAAGCAUAAUGCAUCCUACGAAUCCCUUAAUGUUAAGAGAAUGUUCUUAGUAAUUAAUGGGUACAUAUUUGUAGUGAAGAUAAAAAAACGUCGCCGAAGGAGCAAGUAGUUUAGCUAUGAAUCUCUCAGGCAAAAAGACUCGUACAGGACG